GCAGUCGUGGCCCAGUGGUUAAGGCGAUGGACUAGAAAUCCAUUGCAAUCUCCCCGCACAACUUCGAAUCCUGUCGACUGCG
rnacentral:tRNA from 2 species